GUAGGUGGCAAGCGUUGUCCGGAAUUAUUGGGCGUAAAGCGCGCGCAGGCGGUUCUUUAAGUCUGAUGUGAAAGCCCACGGCUCAACCGUGGAGGGUCAUUGGAAACUGGAGAACUUGAGUACAGAAGAGGAAAGCGGAAUUCCACGUGUAGCGGUGAAACGCGUAGAGAUGUGGAGGAACACCAGUGGCGAAGGCGGCUUUCUGGUCUGUAACUGACGCUGAGGCGCGAAAGCGUGGGGAGCAAACAGGGAUUAGAUACCCUGGUAGUCCACGCCGUAAACGAUGAGUGCUAAGUGUUAGGGGGUUUCCGCCCCCUUAGUGCUGCAGCUAACGCAUCAAGCACUCCGCCUGGGAGUACGGCCGCAAGGCUG
rnacentral:rRNA from 1 species